AGCGGAGGAAAAGAAACUAACAAGGAUUCCCCUAGUAACGGCGAGUGAAGCGGGAAGAGCUCAAAUUUGAAAUCUGGUGGCCUCAGGUCAUCCGAGUUGUAAUCUAUAGAAGUGUUUUCCGUGCUGGCUCAUGUACAAGUCCCUUGGAACAGGGCGUCAUAGAGGGUGAGAAUCCCGUCCUUGACAUGAACUACCAGUGCUCUGUGAUACAUUUUCAACGAGUCGAGUUGUUUGGGAAUGCAGCUCAAAAUGGGUGGUAAAUUCCAUCUAAAGCUAAAUAUUGGCGAGAGACCGAUAGCGAACAAGUACCGUGAGGGAAAGAUGAAAAGCACUUUGGAAAGAGAGUUAAACAGUAUGUGAAAUUGUUGAAAGGGAAACGAUUGAAGUCAGUCGUGCUCUUUGGAUUCAGCCGGUUCUGCCGGUGUACUUCCUUUGAGUGGGGUCAACAUCAGUUUUGAUCGCUGGAUAAAGGCUGGAGGAACGUAGUACCCUCGGGUAAACUUAUAGCCUCCUGUCACAUACAGUGGUUGGGACUGAGGAACGCAGCACGCCUUUAUGGCCGGGAUUCGUCCACGUACGUGCUUAGGAUGUUGACAUAAUGGCUUUAAACGACCCGCUG
rnacentral:rRNA from 1 species